rnacentral:rRNA from 1 species
GAGUUUGAUCCUGGCUCAGGAUGAACGCUGGCGGCGUGCUUAACACAUGCAAGUCGAACGGGAAACCUUUUAUUGAAGCUUCGGCAGAUUUAGCUGGUUUCUAGUGGCGGACGGGUGAGUAACGCGUGGGUAACCUGCCUUAUACAGGGGGAUAACAGUCAGAAAUGACUGCUAAUACCGCAUAAGCGCACAGGACCGCAUGGUCCGGUGUGAAAAACUCCGGUGGUAUAAGAUGGACCCGCGUUGGAUUAGCUAGUUGGUGGGGUAACGGCUCACCAAGGCGACGAUCCAUAGCCGGCCUGGGAGGGUGAACGGCCACAUUGGGACUGAGACACGGCCCAGACUCCUACGGGAGGCAGCAGUGGGGAAUAUUGCACAAUGGGGGAAACCCUGAUGCAGCGACGCCGCGUGGAGGAAGAAGGUCUUCGGAUUGUAAACUCCUGUUGUUGGGGAAGAUAAUGACGGUACCCAACAAGGAAGUGACGGCUAACUACGUGCCAGCCGCCGCGGUAAUUC